rnacentral:rRNA from 2 species
UACGAAGGGGGCUAGCGUUGCUCGGAAUCACUGGGCGUAAAGCGCACGUAGGCGGAUCGUUAAGUCAGGGGUGAAAUCCUGGAGCUCAACUCCAGAACUGCCCUUGAUACUGGCGAUCUCGAGUUCGAGAGAGGUUGGUGGAACUCCGAGUGUAGAGGUGAAAUUCGUAGAUAUUCGGAAGAACACCAGUGGCGAAGGCGGCCAACUGGCUCGAUACUGACGCUGAGGUGCGAAAGCGUGGGGAGCAAACAGG